rnacentral:rRNA from 1 species
AUUGAACGCUGGCGGCAUGCCUUACACAUGCAAGUCGAACGGCAGCGCGGGAGCAAUCCUGGCGGCGAGUGGCGAACGGGUGAGUAACAUAUCGGAACGUGCCCUGGAGUGGGGGAUAACUAGUCGAAAGAUUAGCUAAUACCGCAUACGCUCUGUGGAGGAAAGUGGGGGAUCGCAAGACCUCAUGCUCGUGGAGCGGCCGAUAUCUGAUAGCUAGUUGGUAGGGUAAAAGCCUACCAAGGCGACGAUCAGUAGCUGGUCUGAGAGGACGACCAGCCACACUGGGACUGAGACACGGCCCAGACUCCUACGGGAGGCAGCAGUGGGAAUUUUGGACAAUGGGGCAACCCUGAUCCAGCAAUGCCGCGUGAGUGAUGAAGGCCUUAGGGUUGUAAAGCUCUUUUGCCAGGGACGAUGAUGACGGUACCUGGAGAA